rnacentral:rRNA from 1 species
AUGGAAGCAGAACUCACAGCACUAGAUACAGCUACGGUCGAAGCAGAUUGGCUUCGUCGGCUCUUGAAUGACUUGCCGGUUAUUGAGAAACCUGUACCGGGUGUCCUUAUGAACUGCGACAAUCAAACUGUGAUCACGAAAGUGAGCAGCUCAAAGGAUAACAUGAAGUCAUCAAGACACGUUCAGAGAAGGUUAAAGUCUGUCAGGAAAAUGAAAAACUCCAGAGUUAUUGCAUUGGAUUAUAUCCAAACGUCUAAAAAUCUGGCAGAUCCUUUUACUAAGGGUCUAUCACGUAAUGUGAUAGAUAAUGCAUCGAGGGAGAUGGGUAUGAGACCCACAAUAUGA